rnacentral:tRNA from 1 species
AUUUUUUUAGUAUAAAAAGUAUAUCUGACUUCCAAUCAGAAGGCCUAAUUCCUUAGAAAAAAUA